rnacentral:lncRNA from 1 species
UUAAUUAACAAUUAAUAAUUCUAAUCACUAGGCGUCACAAUUUUAGAUGAAAAAACUUACUUUAUACUUAUAGAGUUUCAACUUAAAACAGUUUUUUCGCACUAAAACAUACUAGAAACUUAAAGGGGAUUCUUAACAUAUAAUAUGAUGUUAGUAUAGAAAACCUUUUAGGUGAGCAGUAAAACAAAUUCUUGUGGUACAUAUUUCCAUCCGCUCCCUUCCACUAAGUUAAACAGCUACAACAUGCUACAAAAUUUAAUCAUUAGCCCAAAAUUUAGUGCUUAAUUUACCAAGAUAAACAAAUACCACCUUCAAUAACUGUAAUGAUUAAGAUUAUACUCCUUUCCCUAACCAAUAAAAUGUUCCCAUCAUUCAAAAAUUAAAAAGCAACCUUUCAUUAGCUUCAAGACUUUGUAACCUUUACAUUACACAAUAAUUAAUAUAAUGUGAUCUUCUCAAAUUUGAUUCUUUGAUAUGCAGAACAAUUUACUUGCCCCACU